GCGUUGUUCGGAUUCAUUGGGCGUAAAGGGUGCGUAGGUGGCGCCGUAAGUGGGGUGUGAAAUCCCGGGGCUUAACCCCGGGACUGCAUUCCAUACUGCGGUGCUUGAGGACUGGAGAGGAGACUGGAAUUUACGGUGUAGCAGUGAAAUGCGUAGAGAUCGUAAGGAAGACCAGUGGCGAAGGCGGGUCUCUGGACAGUUCCUGACACUGAGGCACGAAGGCCAG
rnacentral:rRNA from 1 species